GGGGGCGGCGUGCUAUACAUGCAAGUCGAGCGGACAGAUGGGAGCUUGCUCCCUGAUGUUAGCGGCGGACGGGUGAGUAACACGUGGGUAACCUGCCUGUAAGACUGGGAUAACUCCGGGAAACCGGGGCUAAUACCGGAUGGUUGUUUGAACCGCAUGGUUCAGACAUAAAAGGUGGCUUCGGCUACCACUUACAGAUGGACCCGCGGCGCAUUAGCUAGUUGGUGAGGUAACGGCUCACCAAGGCAACGAUGCGUAGCCGACCUGAGAGGGUGAUCGGCCACACUGGGACUGAGACACGGCCCAGACUCCUACGGGAGGCAGCAGUAGGGAAUCUUCCGCAAUGGACGAAAGUCUGACGGAGCAACGCCGCGUGAGUGAUGAAGGUUUUCGGAUCGUAAAGCUCUGUUGUUAGGGAAGAACAAGUGCCGUUCAAAUAGGGCGGCACCUUGACGGUACCUAACCAGAAAGCCACGGCUAACUACGUGCCAGCAGCCGCGGUAAUACGUAGGUGGCAAGCGUUGUCCGGAAUUAUUGGGCGUAAAGGGCUCGCAGGCGGUUUCUUAAGUCUGAUGUGAAAGCCCCCGGCUCAACCGGGGAGGGUCAUUGGAAACUGGGGAACUUGAGUGCAGAAGAGGAGAGUGGAAUUCCACGUGUAGCGGUGAAAUGCGUAGAGAUGUGGAGGAACACCAGUGGCGAAGGCGACUCUCUGGUCUGUAACUGACGCUGAGGAGCGAAAGCGUGGGGAGCGAACAGGAUUAGAUACCCUGGUAGUCCACGCCGUAAACGAUGAGUGCUAAGUGUUAGGGGGUUUCCGCCCCUUAGUGCUGCAGCUAACGCAUUAAGCACUCCGCCUGGGGAGUACGGUCGCAAGACUGAAACUCAAAGGAAUUGACGGGGGCCCGCACAAGCGGUGGAGCAUGUGGUUUAAUUCGAAGCAACGCGAAGAACCUUACCAGGUCUUGACAUCCUCUGACAAUCCUAGAGAUAGGACGUCCCCUUCGGGGGCAGAGUGACAGGUGGGGCAUGGUUGUCGUCACCUCGGGUCGUGAGAUGUUGGGUUAAGUCCCGCCACCGAGCGCAACCCUUGAUCUUAGUUGCCACCAUUCAGUUGGGGCACUCUAAAGUGACUGGCCGGUGGACAAACCGGGAGGAGAGGGGGGGAGGACGUUCAAAUCUUCAUGGCCCCUUUUGAACCUGGGGGUUCC
rnacentral:rRNA from 1 species